rnacentral:rRNA from 1 species
UGGCUCAGAACGAACGCUGGCGGCAGGCCUAACACAUGCAAGUCGAGCGCACCUUCGGGUGAGCGGCGGACGGGUUAGUAACGCGUGGGAACGUGCCCUUCUCUAAGGAAUAGCCUCUGGAAACGGAGAGUAAUACCUUAUACGCCCUUCGGGGGAAAGAUUUAUCGGAGAAGGAUCGGCCCGCGUUAGAUUAGAUAGUUGGUGGGGUAACGGCCUACCAAGUCUACGAUCUAUAGCUGGUUUGAGAGGAUGAUCAGCAACACUGGGACUGAGACACGGCCCAGACUCCUACGGGAGGCAGCAGUGGGGAAUCUUGGACAAUGGGCGCAAGCCUGAUCCAGCCAUGCCGCGUGAGUGACGAAGGCCCUAGGGUCGUAAAGCUCUUUCGCCAGGGAUGAUAAUGACAGUACCUGGUAAAGAAACCCCGGCUAACUCCGUGCCAGCAGCCGCGGUAAUACGGAGGGGGUUAGCGUUGUUCGGAAUUACUGGGCGUAAAGCGCACGUAGGCGGAUUAGAAAGCUAGAGGUGAAAUCCCAGGGCUCAACCCUGGAACUGCCUUUAGAACUACUAGUCUAGAGUUCGAGAGAGGUGAGUGGAAUUCCAAGUGUAGAGGUGAAAUUCGUAGAUAUUUGGAGGAACACCAGUGGCGAAGGCGGCUCACUGGCUCGAUACUGACGCUGAGGUGCGAAAGUGUGGGGAGCAAACAGGAUUAGAUACCCUGGUAGUCCACACCGUAAACGAUGAAUGCCAGACGUCAGGGGCUUGCCCUUUGGUGUCACACCUAACGGAUUAAGCAUUCCGCCUGGGGAGUACGGUCGCAGAUUAAAACUCAAG